UGGGAGCCCUGGGUCCUGGGGCAGUCAUUCUGAUUGCAAAUGGCAGUUGGAGAGAACUGAACACCCUGAGGUCCCGGCUCCCACAGCUGAGGCGUAGCGCAUGGUAUUGCUAUGGAAACGGCCUUGCAAAGCCUGCUGGGAUCAUGCCUCGCUGGGACUGCCCCUCGCCCAGAGUCAGGCUCCGAGGUUAGCUGAUAUCUCACACGUCCAAGUUCAGCCAUGUUCUCAAGAAAAAGAAGCUGAUAACACCGUGUAUUAAAAAGAAAGAAAAACGUUCUGACCUACCAGGCUGCCGUCCACCCAUUCUCCAGAUGCAAACAUUGAGGUCCUUCACUUCUCGAGAGAGCACCAGCCUCCAGCACCAAAAUUCAUCACACUGCAGUUUUCUCAGGAAUUCCCCUCUGGCCCCAGCCCCCCAGGCCAGGUCAGCCCUCCCCGGACUCCUCUGCCUUCCUGCCUCCAGCCUCUCCCUGCCAGCCCAUCCGAGCCUGCUGCUUCCUUCCUCUCCUUAAAGCACCAGUUUUAUUAGGUGUCAGGGUUCUGCUCCCGAACCUUCCCUGGCUCCCACGGCUGAGGAGGUGCAGCUCAAAUCCCACAGCCUGCAUGUGAAGGUCUGUUUGUCUGGGACAGCCUGCUGCCCUGGCAUCAUGAAUAUGGCACCUCCUCGCCCGGCCGGCGUGGCUCAGUGAUUGAAUGUCCAUCGAUGAACCAGCAGGUCACAGUUCCAUUCCCGGUCAGGGCACAUGCCCAGGUUUCAG